AUGCACGCUGGCGGCGUGCCUAAUACAUGCCCGUCGAGCGAACAGACGAGGAGCUUGCUCCUCUGACGUUGGCGGCGGACGGGUGAGUAACACGUGGAUAACCUACCUAUAAGACUGGGAUAACUUCGGGAAACCGGAGCUAAUACCGGAUAAUAUAUUGAACCGCAUGGUUCAAUAGUGAAAGACGGUUUUGCUGUCACUUAUAGAUGGAUCCGCGCCGCAUUAGCUAGUUGGUAAGGUAACGGCUUACCAAGGCAACGAUGCGUAGCCGACCUGAGAGGGUGAUCGGCCACACUGGAACUGAGACACGGUCCAGACUCCUACGGGAGGCAGCAGUAGGGAAUCUUCCGCAAUGGGCGAAAGCCUGACGGAGCAACGCCGCGUGAGUGAUGAAGGUCUUCGGAUCGUAAAACUCUGUUAUUAGGGAAGAACAAAUGUGUAAGUAACUAUGCACGUCUUGACGGUACCUAAUCAGAAAGCCACGGCUAACUACGUG
rnacentral:rRNA from 1 species